GGAUAUCGAACAAAGAACAGCCUUUUUGUUGAUUAGACCAAUUGUCAAUUACUUUAAUUUGCGUGCCUAGUUACGAUCGUAGUUACAAUGUUUAUCCUUUUCCCUAUUGGUUUGUAAUCGGAUAUUUUAGCGUCACCACGCGCAUAUAAAAGCUAAAUUAGCGUCCCUAUAAGCCAGAGUUUCGUAAGAUUUCGCCUUGAACAGCAAUAACUUCGUCUUUCGUUCCAAACCUUUGGCACAAGCGGGACCGAUAUUUUACGAUCGUGAUCGUGACCGUGAUCUAAAUAAACACCGUUGAUAGUCA